UACGUAGGGGGCAAGCGUUGUCCGGAUUUACUGGGCGUAAAGCGCACGUAGGCGGCUUUGUAAGUUAGAGGUGAAAGCCCGGGGCUCAACUCCGGAAUUGCCUUUAAGACUGCAUCGCUAGAAUUGCGGAGAGGUAAGUGGAAUUCCGAGUGUAGAGGUGAAAUUCGUAGAUAUUCGGAAGAACACCAGUGGCGAAGGCGACUUACUGGACACAUAUUGACGCUGAGGUGCGAAAGCGUGGGGAGCAAACAGG
rnacentral:rRNA from 1 species